GUCACAAGCUAUGACAGUUUCUAUGUAUCAGGAAAUGCCUAACCACAAUGUAUAUGUGAUAUUUUGUAAGAUUAGAUUAUUGAAUGUAACAGCAGAAACUACUUCCUCUUUUAUGUAUCUUUUGUAACCUUUUUGUGACAAGUAUAGUAUAAAUAUAGCGAAUCUUGAAUAAACGAUCAGAAGAUUAUGGAAAGCAAAGAGUGUGCGUCUGGUUAAUACGCUUCCAUAAAAAUCUUCCCUGAAUAUUCAGCUGACAAUCGAGGGUUGGAGAAUAGUGACCAGAGGGACCGAGUCACCAGAGUAGCAGAUUUACCUUUCAGCUUGGUGUCAGAAAGUGGGAUUGUAGCCAAAACCAUUUUGGGUGAGUAGUAAUUCCUUGUGUCUAUCUUGACACCCUGAAUCUAUGAUCCCCAUGGUUUUGUAAGUCUACAUCAUUUUAGGAAAGGUUAUUUAGUAUAUGUGUUUUCUGUGACUCAGUUUUACAUAAGGUCCCGUUACAUUAGUCUAGUAAGGGAACUAGACAGAGAGAUAUAUGUAUUUCUAGUAAGUGAACUAGAGAAGGUCUAAUAAGAGAAUUGGACAGAUAAAGUCUAUAAAGUGAUAUAGACAGAGAAUUUAGUAUAUAAGUGAAUAUACUACGAUAGUGUGCACAGAGUUUCAGGUUCACCUUGUCCACCCUCUAAUUGUCAUUAGUUAAGUUUGGUUGUGAGUGUGAAUAAGUGUUUGAAAGAUUUGUCCUAGGAAUGGGAAAUUACCAUGCAAGAAUAUGAAGUAGUUAACUUUUCUUGUUCAUAUGUAUUUUAUGCUUAAAUAAGGUUUAUAAUCAUUAGUGCUGACUGUAAGGAUAUGAAAUAGUUAAACUCUUUUUGCUUUAUAUGCUAACCCUGAAAAUAUACUCACUGAGAAUCUUGUUAAAGCACAUUUGUAGUGUCCAUGUCUUUAUUGCAAACAAUGAUUCUCCAUCAAUUGGGUGAUUGUCUAUAUUGGGGACACACUUUGGUAAGUUAGUAGUGUGUCCACCCUGAGUCAGCAGUAUGGGAAAUGUAAGUUCUGG